UGAAACACUUUGAAGGAAAGAAGCCUUCGGAAAGCUUCCAGAGAGUCGGUGGUGCUGCAAACCGGCAGCGGAACGAAUGGCUUUAGCGCUCCUGAGUCGCUGCGUUGAAAUGAAAGUAGGCGCAGCCGGUGAACCCGUUAUCGUUCUUGUCAGCAAUGACAACUGAGGCUGCUUUCUGCGAAGGGGCAGCGAAUUAGGGUGGUACCACGAAUAACUCUCGUCCCUUAC
rnacentral:ncRNA from 1 species